UAUACAGUCACUCUUUCAUGGACUUUUUAAACAGUUACUCAAAACACCAUGACCACUUCAGUGAUUUGAACUGGUCAUGGUGUCUGCAGACUGUAUGUACAGAACUUCACUUUCAAACGCUGCACACAAUGAGAUUAACCCCUCUGCUGUCAGAGAUGUAACUCCCUCUACGGCAUCAUUGGAACUGUAGUUCCUGGCUUACUUAUGUCAAUUCUGUGAAUAUUGCUACGCACACAUUUGUAAUUAUUGUCAACGAAUGGCUGGCCGAAUCGGCAUCUGGCUUCUGCAAAACCGAACAUUGCCCAUUAGCAGGAUGCGUGUCCCGGAUACAUCUCACAUCAUUAUUACUACAGGGGGCUGUACUAG